rnacentral:rRNA from 1 species
UACAGAGGGGGCAAGCGUUGUUCGGAAUUACUGGGCGUAAAGGGCGCGUAGGUGGCCUUCUAAGUUGAACGUGAAAUCCCUGGGCUCAACCCGGGAACUGCGUCCGAUACUGGCAGGCUUGAAUUCGGGAGAGGGAUGCGGAAUUCCAGGUGUAGCGGUGAAAUGCGUAGAUAUCUGGAGGAACACCGGUGGCGAAGGCGGCAUCCUGGACCGAAAUUGACGCUGAGGCGCGAAAGCCAGGGGAGCAAACGGG